UACGGAGGAUGCGAGCGUUAUCCGGAUUUAUUGGGUUUAAAGGGUGCGUAGGCGGGCUUUUAAGUCAGCGGUAAAAAUUCGGGGCUCAACCCCGUCCGGCCGUUGAAACUGGGGGCCUUGAGUGGGCGAGAAGUAUGCGGAAUGCGUGGUGUAGCGGUGAAAUGCAUAGAUAUCACGCAGAACUCCGAUUGCGAAGGCAGCAUACCGGCGCCCGACUGACGCUGAGGCACGAAAGCGUGGGGAUCGAACAGG
rnacentral:rRNA from 1 species